rnacentral:rRNA from 1 species
GACGAACCGAGCGAACGUUGUUCGGAAUCACUGGGCUUAAAGGGCGCGUAGGCGGGUGCUCAAGUCUGUGGUGAAAUCCUCCGGCUCAACCGGAGAACUGCCAUGGAUACUGGGUGCCUCGAGGGUGGUAGGGGUAUGCGGAACUAUCGGUGGAGCGGUGAAAUGCGUUGAUAUCGAUAGGAACUCCGGUGGCGAAGGCGGCAUCCUGGACCGACAUUGACGCUGAGGAGCGAAAGCCAGGGGAGCAAACGGG